UACGUAGGAGACGAGCGUUGUCCGGAAUCACUGGGCGUAAAGCGCGUGUAGGCGGAUUGGUAAGUCUGCUGUGAAAGCUCCUGGCUUAACCGGGAGUGGUCGGUGGAAACUGCCAAUCUGGAGGACGGUAGAGGUAGGUAGAAUUCCCGGUGUAGUGGUGAAAUGCGUAGAGAUCGGGAGGAAUACCUGUGGCGAAGGCGGCCUACUGGGCCGGACCUGACGCUGAGACGCGAAGGCGUGGGGAGCGAACGGG
rnacentral:rRNA from 1 species